UCCUGCACUCGACCACUUGAUUAAAGUUGAUCCUGGCUCACCCUGGCGGUAACUGUAGGCUAACACAUGCAGUCGAACGGCAGCACAGGAGAGCUUGCUCUCUGGGUGGCGAGUGGCGGACGUGGUGAGGAAUACAUCGGAAUCUACUCUGUCGUGGGGGAUAACGUAGGGAAACUUACGCUAAUACCGCAUACGACCUACGGGUGAAAGCAGGGGACCU
rnacentral:rRNA from 1 species